AUGAGUGCCGUGUUUCACGUAGAAAGGAACUCAUUACCGUGUAAAUGUGAUGCAUUCAAGUGCCCAUUGUGUGAGAGGGAGAAAACAGUAGACUCAGCAGCCGCCAACCUGGAAACAGUGGGAUUCAAUUUACGCCGCAUGAACAGGGGAGGGACAAAUCAUGUUACAUAUUAUGAACAAGAAAACAGGGGAGAGGGAGGAGAUGGAGGGAAAGAGAAUGGUAAAGAGGGAGCUGAGAAGGAGGGAGCAGGCAGAGAGAGUGAGGUGGGAAUUGAGAGAAAGAGAGAGAGAGAGAGAGAGAGAGAGAGAGAGAGAGGUGGGAAUAGAGAGAGAGAGGUGGGAAUAGAGAGAGAGAGAGAGAGAGAGAGAGAGAGAGAGCGCGCCUCGCUGCUAGCUUUUCCCCUGCUCCGUCUGUGCUUGUGCCAAAGCGAGAGAGUGAGAGAGAGAGGUGGAGAGUGGUGGAAUGAGACAGAGGGAGAGGAGGAGGAGGACAACAGAGCGGAGGGUGGAGAGUGGUGGAAUGAGACAGAGGGAGAGGAGGACAACAGAGAGCGGAGGGUGGAGAGUGGUGGAAUGAGACUGAGAGGGAGAGGAGGACAACAGAAAGCGGAGUGUGGAGAGUGGUGGAAUGAGACAGAGGGAGAGGAGGAGGAGGACAACAGAGCGGAGGGUAGAGAGUGGUGGAAUGAGACAGAGGGAGAGGAGGACAACAGAGAGCGGAGGGUGGAGAGUGGUGGAAUGAGACUGAGAGGGAGAGGAGGACAACAGAAUGCGGAGUGUGGAGAGUGGUGGAAUGAGGCAGAGGGAGAGGAGGAGGAGGACAACAGAGCAGAGGGUAGAGAGUGGUGGAAUGAGACAGAGGGAGAGGAGGACAACAGAGAGCGGAGGGUGGAGAGUGGUGGAAUGAGACUGAGGGAGAGGAGGACAACAGAGAGCAGAGGGUGGAGAGUCCUAGGCACACUAGAGCAGUCUGGAGGUGUCGUUUUCCGGAGGGGGGAUGACGGGAUGGAAGAAUUUGCGAUGGUCGGAGUACGAGAACGUGUAUGGGCUUCAAGAUCCUCUGUUUCCUGCAACAUGCAUGUAUAUACAAUCUCUCGUUCUCUCUCUCUCUCUGUGUCACACACACACACACACACACACACACACACACACACACACACACACACACACACACACACACACACACACACACACACACACACACACAUAGUCUCUGCACCAUACGCUCCGGGCAUCUUGACAUCUACCCCCCACCCAGCCACGGUCUGUGGGAGGAUGAAUAAUAUCACUUCUGAGAGAGGAGAGAGGGAGGAAGGGAGAGAGAGGAAGGAAGGGAAAUAG
rnacentral:lncRNA from 8 species